GACGAACGCUGGCGGCGUGCCUAAUACAUGCAAUUCGACCGAGUGGCGGCCGGGUGAGUAAUGUAUGGGGAUCUGACCGAUAGCGGGAGAUAACUACUGGAAACGGUGGCUAAUACCGCAUACUAUCGGAUGCACCCAUAUGGGAUUAGCUCGUAGGUGGGGUAAAGGCUCACCGAGGCGACGAUCUCUAGCUGGUGUGAGAGGAGGAUCAGCCACACUGGGACGGAGCAAUGGCCGAGACGCCUACGGGAGGCAGCAGUGGGGAAGAGUGCACAAUGGGCGCAAGCGUGAUGCAGCCAUGCCGCGUGUAUGAAGAAGGCCUGAGGGUUGUAAAGUAAUUUCAGCGGGGAGGCGUUACCCGCAGAAGAAGCACCGGCUAACGCCGUGCCAGCAGCCGCGGUAAUAC
rnacentral:rRNA from 1 species